rnacentral:rRNA from 1 species
GACGAACGCUGGCGGCGUGCUUAACACAUGCAAGUCGAACGGAAAGGCCCCAGCUUGCUGGAGUACUCGAGUGGCGAACGGGUGAGUAACACGUGGGUGAUCUGCCCUGCACUUCGGGAUAAGCCUGGGAAACUGGGUCUAAUACCGGAUAGGACCGCCCUCUGGUGUGUGUGGUGGGAAGGUUUUUGUGGUGUGGGAUGGGCUCGCGGCCUAUCCGUCUGUUGGUGGGGUAAUGGCCUAGCAAGACGGCGACGGGGUCCGGGCUGGGGGGGUGGACGGUCACAUUGGGACUGAGAUACGGCCCAGACUCCUACGGGAGGCAGCAGUGGGGAAUAUUGCACCAUGGGGGAAACCCUGAUGCAGCGACGCCGCGUGGGGGAUGAAGGCCUUCGGGUUGGAAACUCCUUUCGCUAGGGACGAAGCUUUUUGUGACGGUACCUGGAGAAGAAGCACCGGCUAACUACGUG